AUGUUCGAGUAAGCCAAGGACGUCUCUGCCACCGGCGAGAUGAAGAACAGAGGCACCUGCGUGAAGCCUGACUUGUCUAAGUGCGUGCUCAGGCAUUCAAAGAGAUCGUACACCACGCCGGACGGGUAGCAAGCGCACCGUAUCCAGGACAUGAAUCCAAUGAAUCGUAACGCCAAAAAAAUCCAAUAAGAAAUUGUUCUCUCGAGCAA